rnacentral:rRNA from 1 species
CAUGCAAGUCGAGCGGGGAGAUGUAGCUUGCUACAUUUCCUAGCGGCGGACGGGUGAGUAAUGCUUAGGAAUCUGCCUAUUAGUGGGGGACAACAUUCCGAAAGGAAUGCUAAUACCGCAUACGCCCUACGGGGGAAAGCAGGGGAUCUUCGGACCUUGCGCUAAUAGAUGAGCCUAAGUCAGAUUAGCUAGUUGGUGGGGUAAAGGCCUACCAAGGCGACGAUCUGUAGCGGGUCUGAGAGGAUGAUCCGCCACACUGGGACUGAGACACGGCCCAGACUCCUACGGGAGGCAGCAGUGGGGAAUAUUGGACAAUGGGCGCAAGCCUGAUCCAGCCAUGCCGCGUGUGUGAAGAAGGCCUUUUGGUUGUAAAGCACUUUAAGCGAGGAGGAGGCUACUUGGAUUAAUACUCUAGGAUAGUGGACGUUACUCGCAGAAUAAGCACCGGCUAACUCUGUGCCAGCAGCCGCGGUAAUACAGAGGGUGCGAGCGUUAAUCGGAUUUACUGGGCGUAAAGCGUGCGUAGGCGGCUUUUUAAGUCGGAUGUGAAAUCCCUGAGCUUAACUUAGGAAUUGCAUUCGAUACUGGGAAGCUAGAGUAUGGGAGAGGAUGGUAGAAUUCCAGGUGUAGCGGUGAAAUGCGUAGAGAUCUGGAGGAAUACCGAUGGCGAAGGCAGCCAUCUGGCCUAAUACUGACGCUGAGGUACGAAAGCAUGGGGAGCAAACAGGAUUAGAUACCCUGGUAGUCCAUGCCGUAAACGAUGUCUACUAGCCGUUGGGGCCUUUGAGGCUUUAGUGGCGCAGCUAACGCGAUAAGUAGACCGCCUGGGGAGUACGGUCGCAAGACUAAAACUCAAAUGAAUUGACGGGGGCCCGCACAAGCGGUGGAGCAUGUGGUUUAAUUCGAUGCAACGCGAAGAACCUUACCUGGUCUUGACAUAGUAAGAACUUUCCAGAGAUGGAUUGGUGCCUUUCGGGAA